rnacentral:ncRNA from 1 species
UUAAAAUCUAUGAUCGAAAGUAAGUACUUUAGAGGAUGAUUUUCAGAGAGCAAAUGGUUGGUGUGAAUUUGUAGUUUAAUCUAGAGGAAUGGAUUCGUGAGAUGCUAGGUGAAUAAAAAGUAGCUGAGGCCGUUUCCUAACGUUAUAUAGGGAAGAUAUCGAUUUAGCGUUUAUAAGAAAGAUAUGAAACGUGAAGUCCGUAUCUAGUGAGGUUGUAUUGAUUAGUGGCUGAUAUCUAAUUAUAGGUAUCAGUUUUUUUGUUAAAAAAGUACAAUGAAAUUGGGUGGCACCACGACAGAUAAUUCGUCCCUAGU